UACGAACCGUACAAACGUUAUUCGGAAUCACUGGGCUUAAAGGGUGCGUAGGCGGCCAUGUAAGUGGGGUGUGAAAUCCCUCGGCUCAACCGAGGAACUGCGCUCCAUACUGCAUGGCUUGAGGGAGACAGGGGUAAGCGGAACUGAUGGUGGAGCGGUGAAAUGCGUUGAUAUCAUCAGGAACACCGGUGGCGAAAGCGGCUUACUGGGUCUCUUCUGACGCUGAGGUACGAAAACUAGGGUAGCGAACGGG
rnacentral:rRNA from 1 species